rnacentral:tRNA from 1 species
GCCGGCGUAGCUCAGCAGGCAGAGCAGCUGAUUCGUAAUCAGCAGGUCAGCGGUUCAAUUCCGCUCGCCGGCU